GACGAACGCUGGCGGCGUGCUUAACACAUGCAAGUCGAACGGAAAGGCCCCUUUGGGGGUACUCGAGUGGCGAACGGGUGAGUAACACGUGCGUAACCUGCCCUUGACUUCGGGAUAACUUCAUGAAACUGGGGCUAAUACCGGAUAGGAAUCCUUUCUGCAUGGUUGGGGUUGGAAAGCUUCGGCGGUUUUGGAUGGACUCGCGGCUUAUCUGCUUGUUUGUGGGGUAGUGGCUUACCAAGGCUUUGAUGGGUAGCCGGCCUGAGAGGGCGACCGGCCACAUUGGGACUGAGAUACGGCCCAGACGCCUACGGGAGGCAGCAGUGGGGAAGAGUGAAAAAUGGGCGGAAGCCGGAUGCAGAAACGCCGCGGGCGGGAGGACGGGCUUAGGGUUGUAAAACGCAUUCAGCAGGGGAGAAGCUUGUGGUGACGGUACCUGCAGAAGAAGCACCGGCUAACUACGUG
rnacentral:rRNA from 1 species